GACGAACGCUGGCGGCGUGCUUAACACAUGCAAGUCGAACGGAAAGGCCCUGCUUGCAGGGUAUUCGAGUGGCGAACGGGUGAGUAACACGUGGGUGAUCCGCCCUGCACUUUGGGGUAAGCCUGGGAAACGGGGUCUAAUACCGGAUAGGAGCCAUUUCCAGUGUGAGGGUGGGAAAGUUUUUUCGGUGUAGGGUGAGCUCGCGGCCUAUCAGCUUGUUGGUGGGGUAAUGGCCUACCAAGGCGGCGACGGGUAGCCGGCCUGGGGGGGUGGGCGGCCACCUUGGGACUGAGGGACGGCCCCGACUCCUACGGGAGGCCGAAGGGGGGAAUAUUGCACCAUGGGCGCAAGCCUGAUGCAGCGACCCCGCGUGGGGGAUGGCGGCCUUGGGGUUGUAAAAUCCUUUCGCUAGGGACGAAGCCUUUUGUGACGGUACCUAGAUAAGAAGCACCGGCUAACUACGUG
rnacentral:rRNA from 1 species